rnacentral:tRNA from 1 species
AAAUUUAAGUUAGCAAAACUAAGGGCCUUCAAAGCCCUAAACAGGAACCUAAUUUCUG